UUAAGCCUACGGGAGGCAGCAGUCGGGGAUAUUGCGCAAUGGAGGAAACUCUGACGCAGUGACGCCGCGUGCAGGAAGAAGGUUUUCGGAUUGUAAACUUCUUUAGACAGGGAAGAAAAAAGACAGUACCUGUAGAAUAAGCUCCGGCUAACUACGUGCCAGCAGCCGCGGUAAUACGUAGGGAGCAAGCGUUAUCCGGAUUUAUUGGGUGUAGAGGGUGCGUAGACGGGAAUGCAAGUUGGUUGUGAAAUCCCUCGGCUUAACUGGGGAACUGCAACCAAAACUACAUUUCUUGAUUGCUGGCG
rnacentral:rRNA from 1 species